rnacentral:rRNA from 1 species
GACGUAGGAUGCGAGCGUUAAUCGGAAUUACUGGGCGUAAAGCGUGCGUAGACGGUCAUGUAAGUCGGGUGUGAAACCUCCAGGCUCAACCUGGAGACGCCACCUGAUACUGCUGUGGCUAGAGUCCGGUAGGGGAGCGUGGAAUUCCUGGUGUAGCGGUGAAAUGCGCAGAUAUCAGGAGGAACACCGGUGGCGAAGGCGGGUCUCUGGGCCGAUACUGACGCUGAGGAGCGAAAGCGUGGGGAGCGAACAGG